GCCGAGGUAGCUCAGCUGGUAGAGCAGGGGUUUUGUAAACCUCAGGUCGCUGGUUCGAUCCCAGUCCUCGGCU
rnacentral:tRNA from 1 species